UAUAUUAGUGCUCUGCCCAGGGCUGAGCAUCGGCUGCAGUCAGGGUCAGCUGGAGAAAGGCAGGAGGAAGGUGUUUGUCGCAAGGGUCCUCCAAGACUAGAAGACCCCCCAAAGCCCAUUGCCAAAAGACCAUCGGACCUUCCUACCCGCCCUGCUCGGGGCUCCACUGAGCGAGGAGUUGUCCCUGUUGGACUGGCCAUGGCUGGCCCAGGGGACAGACGCUGGACCCAGAGGAGCAGCUUGUCACCUCCUGAGCCCUGAGGAAGCAAUGCUUGUACUACUGCCCUCAAAGGCUUCCCCCUAAGCCCUAGCAGGAGAAGUCUGAGCAAAUAACAGCUCCACUGGGUUUCCCUUCUGUUGUUUCAGGCACCUGUGUCGCUGGACGUGUACAGGAGUUCGUACACGACAGACUACAGAGGUCUCAAGGAGUACCAGCCGCCCACCGAGGAGUACUUGCAGGUACGGGGGGUUUUCCUUGCGUGGCUCCAUGGCCCAUGGCGCAGGCUGCCCCACAGGGCUCUGCGCCCCUCUCGUGGCCAUGGGCAGCUGGGGACCGGACUCGCUGCUGACGUCCCAGCAGAUGCAGGUGCCACCUGCACCGGCAGAGCGGGAGCCCUGCGUCGGUCCUUGCUGCUCGCGACCCACCGGUGGGUCACGUCACGCACAAGUCCCCUGGCUCGUGUUGGGACGUCCCUUCUGCAGGAAAUCCCCCUCGUACCCUCCGGUAAAGCCGCUUCGGGUGUCCAGUGCUAAUUACGCUCAUUAAGUCAGGGCACUAAUGACUGCUUGCUGAACCAGGGCCUAAGCCUUGGAGUCUUAUUGCUUCCUCUGGGGCUGAUGGAGUGGGUCGCGAUUGGGCCCAUCCUGAUAUUGCUGCGGGAGGCAGGGGGGUGUUUGUGAUGGGGAUGUCUCCUUGCCCUGACACAGGCCUGAGAAGACUUCUGUAGGGAAUGUUAUGUUUUUUUUAAUCUCCUUGCAGGGAGAGCGACCCCCUGAGCUAUUUAAUCUGAUUUGCCUCGCUCCGCCUGCCCUGGCCUAAUUGCUUGUGGCAGCCCAGUUGGGACAGCUGCAGUUUGCACUGGGCCACUGGGGAGAAGUAGCAGGGGGGAUGUUCAGUUGCUAAAGUGGCUUGAUCUGUCCUACACUCAUAAGGGAGGAGAAAAGUUCAGGCUUGGGGGAAAACGACAGAGAAAUCAUUGUGUGAAAGUGCCCGGUGGGGCAGAGAGGGGAAGCGGUCUGAGCAGGAGGGGUGGUGUUAGUCCUGGAGGGGCCUCGGUAAUAAACCACAUUAAUCCAGCGCAAGCGAGACCCAGGCUCCUGGUUACGGGUGCCUUCCUCUUAUCUGGAGCAGCCUCAGGAGCCCUCUCCUCCGUUCCCCUCUCCCUCCUGCUUCUCCCCUCCCUGUCAGCUCCCCUCCUCCUGCCCUCUGGGAAGGGGUACCGCUGCCAGCAGCGUUCAUUAACAUUCCCUGCUCCGGGCUCCCGCUGUUCUCCGAGGCUGGCGAGUGGUUUGCAGGAAGCCCAAGCCUUAGGUGGCUGUUCUGCUUCCAAGAUCCUGACUUGGAGCGCAGGGCUUUUAACCCCCUGCCUGCUGGAGUGCAGCCCCGGGCCAGCGUGGAGGGAGGAGAAGUCUUGUUUUCUGAGCUGCACACCUAAGCUCUUUUCUCAGGCUUUUUUUGGUUUUGCUGUUUUAUUUUUAUUUUUAUUUUGUAAAAGGCUUUGGAAGGCUGCAUGCUUUCUGUGGAGGUCCUGACCUGUUGGUGGGCUGGCUUGGGAGAGAAAGAGGGAGAAAGCAUCCGGUAUAUGUUUGAUUUCAUUGGGCUGCGACUCUUUGGCUCUUUAUUGAUCCUUUAUUAAAUCUAAAGGCCUGUAAAGAAAAGUUGUCCUACUGGGCAGCCUACUGAUGAGGUACUCAGGAGGUCCAGAUUUCUUUCUUAGAUUCACUAGGUAUUUUUAAAGAGGAUAGAGUCACUUUGGCAUUUUCCUACAUGAAAUUUUGAAUUGGAGCCCUCUCCCAAAGGGGAGGUUGGAGAGCUUCUUAAAGCAGAAACUGUCUGGUGAGCUGUCGCCGCUGUGAGCCUCUGGAGGAUCUCACUCUCUCAGAUUGGUCCUUAGGAGCCCUUUCCACCCUCAAAUGCAGAAGCCCCCAAAUACAGGUAUUUCCCAGAGCUCUGCAACCCCGACUUGCCCUGUCGAAAGUGUGUUUAAGGAGAAGUCAGCCUGGGCUGGAGAAGUGAUAGGGAAGGGGGGAGCCCUGCGGGAAGUUGAUCUUGAGGGACAAACAGAAACCUGUGGAGGUCCAAAGCAAUGUCAUGGAGGAGCUGAGGAGCAAACCCCAUGAGGAUGGUCACCGAGCAACCUUGCUAACCUCAGGGGCCUGGAGGAGCUCACAGCAGGAGGGUCUUUUACUGGGCCCUUAAAAGGAAGCAAUUUGCUCUUCACAGAGCUGCAGUAUGCAGCUUAAAAGAUGCUGAAGCCAGCAGACCCCCAAGAGCAGCCAUACCAGCAACCACAUUAGUCUUUCUGUUUGUGCCAGGAUUGAUUGUCUUCCCUCUGCUGGCAAAAUUAGCUGCAUCCAUAAUCUUCGUUGCCCUCCCUUCAUAGGUUAUGUUGUGAUCUCCAGGGGCUGAGGGGCUCAAAUGCCGUAAUCAGGUCAUUGCAGUGUUAUAUGCCUUCAUAUAUCUGUCUGGUCUGUCUGUUUAUCAGGAACAUACUCAUUAAGGAAGGUUAAGUGGGCUAUUUUUGCCUGCUAUUUGAUGUCCUCAUCGAUGACAUGAGAACAUGGAGGUGGUUUAGCAGAGGCUUCACAGCUCUCUGUGACAGCAGAAAGAAGACGGGCUAAAAUGGUGGUUUAUUUCCUAACGACAUGCCACCAGUGAGAAAAUCGUGGUGUGGGAUCUGUUGUGGGUCAAGGUUUGCACUCUGGGCUUGCUACUGGAUUACUACAGGUAGAUCUCUGUGUCCAUAUGGUGCCCAGCAGAGUCCCCAGGAGAGUCACAUAGCUCCAUUUUGGCUCGAAGAGUGUCGCUUCAGCUGGAUUUACCGAGGGUGUUGCAGGUACAGCAGAGUCUGGGCAUAGCAAGCUGGACAGAAGAAGGUGGGGGAAAGAAGAGGCCCAAGUGUGCGUCUCCAUACAGCGCAGGGCAUGCCCAGCCCAAACCAUCCAUCUCAUCUGCCUGUGGAGCAAUGUCCCAGCUGAUGCUGAGCCUCCAGGUCAUCUGUGGAAACCUUCCCAGGCGAGACCCCUGCCAUAGCCACCAGGUUUCAUCAACAGCCUGAGAUCAGGGCACAGCUUGCAGAGCUGACCUCCUGGUGCUGGACCCCGCAGAGUAUCUGGGUGGAGAUGGUUCAGGGGAACACUGCUUGGGUGCAAGGUGACACAGCCCAAGCAGCCAUAAAAAGGACAGAAAGAGGAAGCUGUGAUGCCCUGUGCAUUUUAAUGGUAGAGCUAUGGAGCUGCUUUGUGGCUGUUAUGUCCUUGGUCUCACUGACACCACCAAAGUCCAUGUUUUGCUGUGGGCAGAUAGUGUUGUGUUCGAUGCUGCCAUAGGAAUUGACCUCCUUCACUGCAUCUCCAUUCACACAUUACUUCCUUUUGCAGAAGCUAAAGUUUUCCGAUUCCCAGCUAAAAGCCAAGGAGUUUGCAGUGCCUCAAGAGCAGCGGUUGAUGAACUGCUGGGGCAGUGUGGUCAGAGAGGGAAGAGAAGUCAUCCCAGGACCAUGCAGUAAAGUGAACAGGCCUUCUGAUGACAUGCCAGAGAAGAAGCAGGAAGGUAGCUCCUCCAGUCCUGAGUUAUUCCAGCAGGCCGAAAAAGAGCAGAGGAAGUACUUUAAUUCAAUCCUUUCCAACUCAGAAAGCUACCUACCAAAAUACUACCCUGCCACUGAAGCAACAGCAACCCAGGAGGAGAAAAUGGAGAGGCCACAGGCUCUCACUAAGCCAGAAAAUGAGCUUUCUUAUUCCCAGUGUCUUCCAGCUGCUGUUCAAACUCCUGGAACAGAAGGGAUGUUGCUGCGCAAGCAGGAGCUGGCUCAUGGCUGGGCUACCUACCAGCAAUUCGUCUUGGAGACGUGUCGGGCAAGGCAAUUUAAAGCUCAACAAAACAAGAACAUGGUCUUAGGCUCAUCUGUUUUAGGGGAAGGUCAGUUGAUGGAGGCUGUGACAACUGCCUCACAUAGAUGACUUGUGGCCUUAGGUCUGGCUUUGGGCUUUUGAAGUUAGUGCAGGAACAGACUGAAGAAGCUGAAGGGCAAGUGAAUGAAAUGGGAAAGGUCCUUGGAAGCAGGUUUGGUGGGAAGGUUACUGCCAUGCGCUCAAUGGGCACCUGUCACUGGGUUUGCACUUCUCAUGCAGCUUUGCACACCCACAAUUUCACAAGAACGGUCUGGCCAGAGGAGGCCAAGGUCUAGUCCUCAGAGACCUCAUCCCCCAUACAGCCACUGUGGUCCACGCUGAUGCCUACUGACGGUGCCCGCCAAAGGAUUUGUGCAGGAUCCUGCACACCAGGCUGCUGGCUGCAGAAAUGCCAGGCUGUAUUUACCAGGCGUGAUGAGGACAACAACUGGAGGUGGCAUGAAGGUUUCUGACGGGAUUUCCACUUCUUGGAGAGAGUGUGGCUUAAGCACCAUAUUCUGAUCUGCAGCCAGCUGCCUGAGCUGCAAGAUCCCAAAUAGAAUGCUUUGACCUUGACUGCAGAAGUACCUACAACACAGAUUUCCAGCCCUUGCCUGGAGCCCAUGGUGGAUGCUGUAAAGCAAAUAGGACUCUCUCUCACAUUUUUGCUGAAGAUGAGUGCUUUAACCAGAACUACUGGGUGUCAGAGUACAAGGACAACUACAGCGUUUUCUUGCAGAGGCUAAACCGGUCACCUCAAACCCCCACUGCGGGGCUGUGUUCGGCCAUAAAGCCCAUCUGGCAUGUCCCCCGCAGGCUGUCCUCUCAGAAAGUGAUUGCAGUGGAGACAGCCCAGUGAGAGGUGCUACAGCUGUCCGUGGAUGUGUUGCCCACACUAUUCUGUGAUUACACCUCAGUGGCUCUCCAAGUUAUCUGUGUGAUACUGUCGGUGAGAGACCCUGGAAGCCUGGAAACACUGUAUCUUUCAAACUCACCAUUGUGAAUAUUUGUGAAGUGCUCAGCAGAGACCCUUUUAUACACAUAUGUUCAUCAAAAUCCCCCAAGAACACCAGCUCUUCUCAGUGUCAGAAAAACAAUCUUUUGUACAAGGCAGUCCAUGGAGCUAAAAUCACGCUGGCAGUUUCAAUUCAUGUACUCUAAAUAAAACUUGCCAAUAAACUUCAU